AAUCUUUUUUCAGCUUUAAUCCACAAGGAUUGCUCACUGUCUCCUGUACAAAAAUUGUAUUACCUAAAAAGCACUCUCAGUGGUGAACCUCAUGCACUCAUCAAUAAUUUGCCGCUGCAAGAUGAGAGUUAUGCAGAAGCUUUACAACUUCUCAAGAGUAGAUACGACAAUAAAAAUCAGAUCAUACAGGGGCAUGUGCAAUCUCUCUUGGACAUUUCAACCAUCACAAGAUCAAAUUCGGUUAACUUACGAUCAUUCAUUUCAGACAUAAAGCAGAACUUAGCAGCCCUGAAGAACUUAGAUGAGCCUGUGAACAGCUGGGACUCAUUGCUCCUCUGUAUAUUGUAUAAAAAACUAGAUGUUUUGACUAAUCGUGCAUUCCAAAUGGAGCGAGAUAGCAGCGCUAUGCCUACAAUAGACGAAUUUCUGAGCUUUUUAGAGCGCCGAUCCCUCUCAUUGGAGAACACUGACAGUCAAAGGCCAUCUCAGAGAGUGGUCAGCAAUGUAGCAGCUACCACACCUACAUCAACAUGUUCAUACUGCCCUGCUAGCAUCUGAGCCAGAGACUUCUGUCACAGGACAAGUACCUGCAACUUCUACAUCGGUCAGCCCCGAGCAACCUUCUAUUGUGAACACCGCCUUCGGGUAUAUCGUCGCAGGCAGCAGUAACUCAAUUGUAAAUCAAAAACAAAACCAGGUGAUAUCUUUAUUUUGUAGAGAAUGCGACAAUUCAAUUAGUAAUCAACUGAAUGCUUUCUGGGACUCUGAGAAGGUACCGGAGAUCUUCCCAGAACAAUUACCAGAGCAUGAUUAUUGUGAAAAUCUUUUUAGGGAAACAACAAAGCUUGAGAACCAUAAGUAUCAAGUCACAAUGCCCAUUAAGGUGCCACUAGAGCAAGUUAACUCUGAAUUAGGACAAUCGUUUCAUUUAGCGCUCAAUAGAUUUCUGAAUCUGGAAAAGAAAUUACACAGAGAUGAAGUUCUCUUUUGUGAGUACAAAAAGUUUAUAGACCAAUAUGUUGAUUUGUCACAUGGUUCUUAUGUAGAUAUAAGCAGUUAUGACUUGUCCAGGGAUCCUGUUUAUUUUCUCCCUCACCAUGCUGUCAUUAAUUUGGAUAGUUGUACCACAAAACUUCGUGUAGUAUUUGAUGGUUCCAUGCUAACUGAAAAGAAGGUGUCACUCAAUAACAUGUUGCUCAACGGUCCAGUAGUUCAGAGUGAUUUGUUUGAAAUUUUACUAGCUUUCAGAUUAGAAAAGUUGUAUUUUAUAUGCGAUAUUACAAAAAUGUUUAGAUGCAUUGAAAUAGAUCCCAAGCAACGAUCUUUGCAAAACAUACUUUGGCGUGAGUCACGAGACGACCACAUUAAAUGUAUACAGUUAAACACUGUUACCUAUGGUCUCAAGUCAUCCUCGUACCUGGCUACGCGUUGUCUCAUAGAUCUUGCUGAUAAAUAUAAGGAUUUAUAUCCACGCGCAUCAUCAAUACUUAAGAACAAUACCUUCGUAGAUGAUAUGCUCCCAACCACUAACACUGAAACUGAAUUGUUGAAAAUGCAGGAGGAAAUUAUAGAUCUUCUCGCCCUGGGAGGAUUCCAGGUUCACAAGUGGGCCUCCAACUGUAGCUCAAUACUAGAAAAGGUACCUAAAGACAAGCAUCAGCCUGUAAAGCCUGAUCUGCAAGGAGAUUACAUCAAAGUUUUAGGUAUUAAUUUCGAUACUGUAGAGGAUGUGUUUGCAAGCUCAUGUCCGGAGCCUUACCAAAGCUUACAUGAUACAAAACGCGAAAUAUUAAGUUAUAUCAGCAAAUUUUACGACCCUUUGGGACUGAUAGGACCGAUGAUUGUUCAUGCAAAGGUAAUUAUGCAACUGCUAUGGGCUUCUGAUUCGGACUGGGACGCCACUCCUCCAGACAAUAUUCGUCAAAUGUGGCUUGAAUUUGUUAAAAAUCUUUCACAGAUGAAUACCAUUAACAUCCCGCGAUGUGUCAAACCAAUAAAUGCAGUAAGCAUUCAGCUUAUAGGAUUUGCAGAUGCAUCUUCUGUAGCUUACGGGUGUUGCCUAUAUUUGCGUUCCAUUGACGAGCAAGGUAACGUUCAUAUGCAUUUGCUUUGUUCGAAGUCACGUAUAAAUCCGUGUAAAAAAAAGCUUACCAUGCCUAAACUUGAGCUGAAUGCUGCGAUAUUAUUGGCUACGCUAGCUAAAAAAGUAAAAGGUACGUUACUUAAAAAAAUCUUAGUCAAUGAUACUCAUUUCUUCUCAGAUUCGCAAAUUGUAUUAGCCUGGUUGAGAACUGACGUCACUCAGUUGCAAACAUACGUCGCAAAUAGAGUCAGGUCGAUAGGGGAACUCACACACAGCUAUGAGUGGCAUUAUGUUAACACCAGUGAUAAUCCUUCAGAUUGUCUUAGCAGAGGUAUUCAACCACACGAACUACAAAACCAUGUUUCGUGGUGGCACGGCCCUUCGUUCUUGCAUGAUCGAAAUUAUGCAUUCUUGCCAGUUCCUCAAACUGAGAUACAGCUACCUGAAUUAAAAAAGAACAAUAGUUUAAUUGUUUGUACAACAACUGUUGAUACUCAUUGCAGUAUUUUUGAUGGGCUAAAAAAGUAUUCGAGUAUAAACAAAAUGACUAGAAUUCUUGCAUACGUCAUUAGAUUUUGUAAUAAUAUAGGGGCCAACUCUGUUAAAAGGAAAGGAUUUGUCACCGCGGAUGAACUUGACAAUGCAUUGCUGUUGAUAGUGAAGCAUGAACAAUAUCAAUUUUAUCCAGAUGAAAUUAAGUCUCUGCAAUCUGGCAAACAAGUCACAGGUAGCUUGAUGCAACUUUCACCUUUUAUAGACGGUGUCGGUGUUAUUAGGGUCGGUGGUCGGCUACAAAAUGCAUUACUUCCCUAUGCAAAUCAGCACCCCGCAAUAUUGCCCAAAAAAUCGAUUAUCACCGAAUUGAUUAUUAGGAAUGAACACAUUAUGCUCCUGCAUGCAAGUCAAAGUCUGGUUUUAUCAUCUAUCAAACAAAGAUUUUGGAUUCCUGAUGGAUUGCGCACUGUAAAAAAGGUUAUUCAUAAAUGUGUAACCUGUCACAGAUUGAAAGCCGCUGCAGCAACUCAACUGAUGGGUUCCUUGCCUUCAGCACGAGUCAACGCAUGCCGCCCGUUUGAGAAGGUCGGGGUAGACUUCGCUGGACCGGUUGCCGUAAAAAACAGUCGCAUCAGGAAACCCGUCAUUGGAAAAGGUUACAUUGCACUAUUCGUAUGUUUCGUCACGAAGGCUAUCCACCUUGAACUUUGCUCAGAUUUGACAACCGAGUGCUUUCUCGCGUGCUUCAAGCGCUUUAUUGCAAGAAGGAAUUUGCCCAGCGAUGUCUACUGUGACAACGGCACGACGUUUAAGGGGGCAAGGAACAAAUUGGAUGAGUUCUAUACCUUGCAUUCUUCUCAGAGCCAUCAGCAUAAUGUACAAGCAUUCGCUUCGAAAAAAGGUAUAAAUUUUCACUUCAUUCCCAGCUAUAGUCCUACGUUUGGAGGUUUAUGGGAAAGUGGCGUAAAGAGUACAAAGUAUCAUUUGAAGCGUGUUGUCGGCAAAGCGCUGCUCACGUACGAACAGCUAAAUACCGUCCUGGUCGAGAUAGAGGCUGUGCUGAAUUCGCGUCCACUCACGGCAGUAACUGCUGAUGCGAGUGACUUCUCAUACAUUUCUCCUGGUCACUUUCUUACAGGGGCGCCGCUCAGUACUUAUCCUGAGCGCGAUGUUAGUGGUACUCCCACUAACCUUCUUAGAUUUUGGUCAAUUACAGUGAGUAUGAAGCAAUCCUUUUGGAGUUACUGGAGUAAGAAUUACCUUAAUUUAUUGCAAAACAGACCUAAGUGGCGUUCAGUAAUGCCUAAUGUGAAGGUUGGUAGUUUGGUAAUCCUACGGAACGACAACACCUCUCCUUUAGAGUGGCCUAUGGCUCGUGUUACUAAUAUCUUUCCUGGAAAGGAUGGCAAAGUGCGUGCUGUCGAAGUGCGUACCGCAAACUCUCAUACUCACUCUAGGUCUAUAACCAAAAUAUGUGUCCUACCAUUGGAAGUGUAACAUUUUACAGUAAUUUAGAUAUAAACAUCUUAUUGUUUGUUUUUCUUUUCUAUACAUGAUAUACAUUGUAUACAAUAUUGUUUAAGUUUUUUUGUUGUACUGAACCAAUGUGUACUAACUAAGUUUAUGUACCUAAUUAGUUUGUUUCUUUAGAAUUACAUAUUGUUUCUGUGGCCGCCACCAUGUUGGCAACAUCGAAUAAAAAUGUAUAUUUUUUACUCUAGCAACUAAGAACUUCUUGCUUUCUUGCUUGUGUGUCUGCAACAAACGUGUAAUGUGCUAUUACUUGAAAGUCGUCAAUAAAAAUUGUGAAAUUCA